GUCCUGGCGACAGCCGGUGUGUGAAAAGCCUGUUUCCUCCCCUAGAAAAAGCACGUUUGGCUCCGCUCUCCACUGACACGUUUUUAGCUGAGUGACGAUGGAAGCCGCUGGCUUUUAACAGACGGUCUUAACGAGCCUCUGCUCCCCGGCGACCAGCAGACGCGGGCUGACCCACGGUUUUACACACCACGUCUGCGUGGCGGCGGCCGGGCGGCCCCACGGGGCCCGGGCAGGAGGUGACGGCAGCGUUUCUCGCCGCCUUUGCUCAGCGCGCCUCUCAUCCCCUCUCUCCUGUCGACUCGCGGCUUCCUGCAGACCCUCGGCCUGUCUGCGGCCCCUCGCCCGCAGCCUCCCCAGCAGCCGAGGUUUCCUAUAGCAUUAAAAGCAGGAAAGAACCAGCCCUGCUCCCCAGGAACUGAACUUCUGUGGCUCAUCUUCAGAGAAGCCACUGUUGAGUGGGGCUCCUCGGGGGUGCUCCAGCUGCGGUUUAAUUUGCAGGCCCCAGUCGCAGAAUUUAAGAGGACAGAAGAAUGGUCUUUUGUUCCCAACAGCCUCCUUCACCACCACAACCCCACUGGCUGCCUCACCUUACGUGUGACACGCUCGUCGAACUUGCCAGCAAACCCGGGAGGAAUUGCAUUAAACCUGUCCAUCAAUCUGGAAGGACCUGUCAUCUCCACGUUGUUGUAUCUUCCAACCCACGAACGCGGCCGUGUCUCUAGGUGUGUGCUGACGUCUUUCAGCAGCAUUGCUGAGUUUUCAGCAUUGCCCAGCGCUUCCAGCACCAUGCCGGAUCCGAUGGUUAGAGCAGACGUCCUUUCUUGUUCCGGAUCUGAAUGGUGAAGGGUGAUUCCUUGCCCUCGAGGAGAAUGCUGGCUGCAGGGCUUGUACAGAUGCUCUUUAUCCAGCGGAGGAAGUUCCUCUCCUUCUCUGUUUUUCCAAGUUUAAAUCAUGAAUAGAUGUUAAACUUGUCACGGGCCUUCCCAACACUGACAGAUGUGAUCGUGUGAGUUAUCUUCGGUAGCUGGUAACGUGUGGAUCUCAUCGACUGAUUCUCAAAUACGGAACCAACCUUCAUCCCUGGAAUAAUCCCUACUUGGUCAUGGCAUAGAAUUCUUUGUUAUAUAUUGGCAAAUUCUAUUUAGUAAUUUUUUUUUUUUUUUUGAGGCAGAGUCUCACUCUGUUGCCGAGGCUGGAGUGCAGUGGCACCAUCUCUGCUUACUGCAACCUCCACCUGCCGAGUAGUUGGGAUUAUAGGCAGCCACCACCAUGCCCAGCUAAUUUUUGUAUUUUUAGCAAAGAUGGGGUUUCACCAUGUUGGCCAGGCUGGUCUUGAACUCCUGACCUCAGGUGAUCUGCUCGCCUCGGCCUCCCAAAGUGUUGGGAUUACAAGUGUGAGCCAUUGUGCCCAGUCUAUUUAGUAAUAUUUUGUUAAAAAAUUUUGUGUCUAUAUCACUGAGGGAUAUUGGCUUGUAAUAUUAUUUUCUUGUAUUAUCUUUGUGUGGUUUUGGUAUCAGAGAACCACUAGCUUCAUAAAAUAAAUUGAGGCUGGGUACAGUGGCUCAUGCUUGUAAUCCCAGCACUUUGGGAGGCUGAGGUGGGAGGACUGCCUGAGCCCAGGAGUUUGGGACCAGCCAGGGCACCAUGGCAAGAUCCUGUCUCUACAAAAACUAAAAAAAUUAGUGAGGCGUGGUGGUGUGGGCCUGUGGUCCCAGCUACCUGGGAGGCUGAGGCGGGAGGAUAAUUUGAGCUGAGGAGGUCGAGGCUACAGUGAGCCAUGUUUGUGCCAUUGCACUCCAGCCUGGGUGACAGAG
ensembl:lncRNA novel transcript, antisense to LMF1